UUGGAGCAACCACUCAAUGGUUUCACCAUCUGAUUUGUGACCAAGCUCCCUUGUUAGCUGGAAAACCCUAGCAGCACACGUAGCCGGCAUGCGGAUGCGACGGCCUCGUCCUUCCACUUUGGUGUGCCGGUCCUUGGUUGAAGUCCUCUUAGGUGGAGGUUUCUUGGAGGGAGGUUCCAAGGUUGGUUUGGAGCUGGUGUCGACGUCGGCAGGGUCGGAACGAGGUUGUUCCUUCUUUUCUAGGAGCUGAAGAGGGAAGUUCGGCCUGCGGAUCCCAUUUUCAUCCAUGAUCAUGUAUGAGAGAGUGGGAUUAUAUCUUUUUGGUGGUUUGGCUCUCCUAGCACAUGAUCUGAAGGUGACCCUCAAUUCGGUGACUUUGAUGGCCUAGUGGGUCUCUUUCUUUUUAGCUAUAUGAUGUUGUGUUGUGUAGCUUGGAAUUCCCUUUAGAUGGGGAAGAUUGAAGCUGCCGAGUUGGUUUUCUUAUCUCUGCACAGACCAAAGAGAGAGAGGGGAUAAGGGGAAGGGGGCAAGCUUUAAGCAACAAAUACAAUGAGUGAGAAUUAUGAGGGUGGGCUAAGAAAGAAAAGCAAAGACUUUUUUGGAUGGGAAAUAAUUCGUUGAAUUGAGGACCUCUUUGUAAUUUUCUCUUUUCUAUAUUGUGAAAAUAAAAUGAGAUAACCCUAAAUAUAGAGAGAGAUCAUAUAAUUGUGGUUGGAUAGUCCCUUGAUUCAAACUCCACGUGCGGUGCUCUUUAAUCAUUCAAUCCAUAAAGACAGUGGUGGGCCCCUCGUUCCUUUACUCUGAAAAACUCAAUCACUCGUUAAAAAUAUACAAAUUAUUUAGAUAUAAUAAAGUGGUCCCCAUUCCAUUCUUGUAAUCAUUGCCUUCUGCCUUUGAUCUUAAUUUUAAAACAAAAGUUUACCUCUAAAUAAUUCCAUUACUUGUAAUACAUCUAUGAUGCAUGUGAACAUGGUUUUAUAUCAAAUCAUCGAUUAAGUUUGAUUUUUCUUAAUUGGAGAAAUCUUAAAAACUCAUUUCCUUAAAAAAAAUUUCUUUCCAAGAGGAAAAUCCGUUUAUUGGGGAUGAGAGUGAAGGAUACUUGAUGAAAAAUCUUUCAGUAGAUCUCUGAGUCAAGACCCAACACUUUUCAGGUCUCCAUCUUUGAACAUGUGAGCCAUACAGUCUGCAAUAUUAUAUAUAUAUAUAUGUGGUCCUUGAAAGUAUUGUUUAAAAAGCUUAUAUACCCAAAAUAUGCCUUUUAUUCCAUUUUUCCAUUAAAGGCUUUCAUCUCUAUCUAUUUUGAAGUUUUGUAGGAGCAGGGGUACAUUUCAUAAGAUCAAUAGUCCUAAAUCUUCCGACCAAUUGAACGUUGUGCAUGAGGAAUGUGGUGUUGGAUAAGGUGAAAGAAUAUAAACUUUUCUUUUAUGCCAAAUUUUGUUGGGACAUAAUAGUAAAAAGUUUGAUGUUACUAAAGUAAUGGGAAAUCAUUCGGAUAACAUAGAUAAAUAUAAUGUAAUUAUACAUUGUUAAUCAAACACGUCUAAAGAAUUAGAAUUCUUUGUAAUUAUAAGAGGAUGAAAUUACUAGUUUAGUAACUAUAGCUUUAUCCAAUUAUUUUGUGGUGUCCAAACACACUCUACCUAAAAAAAACUGGCUAAAAAAAUUAACCUAAAACUUUUAUUCAAUAAAUUAUCAUUUUAGUCCCUCUAGUAUGUUCAAACUUUAAAUUUAAUCAUUACACUUUAAUUUGGCGUAGAAGAGGAGUUCGAGUCUUAAUAUCUAAAAUCUCUUCUUCUUUUUUUCGAGCAGUCAAUAUAUCUACUCAUACUAGUGUAAAACUCAACUAAUUUUACGUACUUAUGUAAAUUUUUGUACGAUUAUUAUUUUUAUAAUUCAACUAUAAGCUAUUAUUGAUGAAUAAAACAACUUGAAUUAUACCAUAUGUGUAUAUGUAUACAUAUAGUACAUAAGAAAGACCCACCAGCAAAGAGGAAUGAGAGAGAAAGCAUAGCACGUCUAACCCAUGUGCCUAACAGGCCAAAGUGUAGCUUAAAAGGGAACAAAAACAAGCACAUUGCCUAAAAUAUAGCGACUUCCAAAAUCUAUUUCAACAACCAACAUACCUAACUAUCUCAUAAUUCGAUUUUCUUUUCCCCAUCUUCUCUAAUCAUUUUUUUCCCUCUAAAUCUCCACUAAUCACCCUUCUUCCUCUUGAUUAUGACCCUUCCUUAAUAUGUCACCUUUCUUGCUUUAACUUUUUCAUUUCUUUUUUGUUUUACUAAAUCUUUGUGAUUUUGAAGAAAAAAAAACCCAGUACAUUGUCAUUUCAAGUUCCCUACACCUUAACAUGCAUGUAACAAAACAAUGGUGUGUGCGCAGACAGUGGCAUUUGCCUCUUUGGAUAUAUGGUUUAAUUCUUUUUGUAGUCCUCUUAAAUUUUAAUUAGUUUUAGCUUUUAUGUUAAAUGAAUAAUUUUUAGCCUUCUUAGAUAUUAAUAAUUCAAAUUUUUAGCUUUAUCUUCCGAAAUUUUUAAUUUUAUCCUAAUCAUAGAGCACAAUGAUUCUCCAAAUGAAACCAAUAAUGUCGAAGUUGUCCUGAUGAAGUACUGUUUAUUAUAAAGGAACACCACAUAGAAGAAAUACCUUUAUCUGAAACUUUACAAACGUUAUUAGGCAAAUCAUGGGUUCCUAUAUGUUAUAACAUUAUCUCCAUGUAAGUAAUAAUAAGAGUUGAGAGUGUAUGGACAAGGGAAGUUGUAUAAAUUCUAUUCAAUAUUACCUUUUUAAAAAUAAUUAAAAAUUAAUAUUUUUUGGGAAGCCGAUUAUAAAAAUAAAUAAAGGGUAUCAUAUGCAAUAUAUCUCACCAAACAAAUAUUAUAUUAAAUCGUUUUAUCUUUUCAUUCAUCAAAAUUAUUGAUAUUAUUACUAUUUUUCACGUCUAAAAAUAAAUUUGAAGUAAGUUUGAUGCAAGCAAUUUUAGCAUUAACUCUUGGACCAAUAAUAGUGGGAUUUGGACCACAGCAGUGAUGUACUAUUUUAUGGUUGGUGCAUGGUACAAAAACAUGCCAUCAUCUUCAUUUCAAUACAAAAGUGUUUUUUAUUUUUAUUUGGGUAAUAGAAGAAAUCCUAUGUGGGUGUUCCUCUUCCGCUUAAACAAAGAGUUUCUAUUUAUACUUUUGAUUUAAAAUUAUUAAUUUUUUUUUAGUUUCUCUUAAAUCAAAUUUUAGCUAAAUUCCUCUCUCGUAAACAAAACAAAAUUUAUAAAUAUAUGAGUGGAAAAUAGUCCCCCAUUGGGGAAGAGAUCACGUGCCUUGCCAUCUUUUGCCGGUGAUGCUGAUGGCUUACCCUCCAUUUUUGUGUUUAAUUAUUUAACCCGAAUGUUAGUUGUAAAUCACCCCCUUAAUUUCUUCCCUUUUUGGGUCAAGCUGGCCGCUCUCUUUCUUUGAAUUUCAUUAACAACAAUCGGAUAAGAUGUUACCCUUUUUUUCAUAUCCCUUUUAAAAUUUGUUCAUAAAUGAGAAUAUUUCAGAAUUUUUUGAAAUUUUAUAUUUUAUUUUAUUAGUCUCAUCAUUUGUUUGGUUUACUUUUUUUUUUUUAAAUUGAUGAAUAAAAAUAAUUUGUUUAGUAAUGUUUUUGUUGUGCAAAUUAAGUUUUAAUUUGAUUGGUAUUGAUAUUGUUGUCAGAGAAUGUGGGUUCAAGUACGCUCAAGCGCAUUAUCCUCCUAUUUAAGGGUUGGAGAGAUGCUAUGAUUAAUUCUAGACAUUAUAUCAAAAAUAAUAGAUAUUAUAAGAAUUUAUAAUAAGAUUAAUGUUAAAAAAAUAAUAUUAUUAUUUUUGCUAAAAAAACUGUGUUUGAGUAGUAGAAAGUAAUGUUAACAAACCUUAAAUGACAAAUGAAUAUAGUUAUUAAAUGUGAUUAUAACUUUUUGUAUAAUUUGUAAUGUAUUUGAAAUUUUAUAGUAAAAAAUAUUAAGAAAAAUAGCAGUGAGAAAUCUUAGGUGGAUGAAUAGAAGCAUAGUAAUAAAAGAGAUUACCAUUCUAAUACGGAAACAAAAUUAGAAGGAAUCAUUGCUUGGCUUCCUCCCAAAUAUAUAAACUUUGAUUUCUUUGGGAUAACUUAAUAUUUAUUCCAUGAAUUUGUACUUUUUUUUUAGUUCUUGAAUCUCUUUCAUCCAUAAAUAGUUUUAGAAUUUGGUAGUUUUUUUCUAAUUUGAUUCACAAACUUAGCUUCCAUUAAUUAUGAUGAUGUAAUACUCUUAUAUUUGUGUUAAACUAUCACUUAAAAAUUUAAAAAGUUAUAUUAUAUCUAAAAAGUAUUAAAUUUAUAACAUAUUUAAUUCUUUUUUUUAAAAAAUCAAGUGAUAACAUAGUACAAUCUUAAAGUGUUACGUUAUCAUGUCUUCACAAAAUCUAAGUGCAUGGUCCAAAUUGAGAAAGGUACAAAGUUUCAAGACUAAUGUGGACUAAAGAUGUUACAAUUUUUUUCAACUUGGUCCUGAACUUCUUUUGUCCACACUCCACAAUAGUCCAGGAAUUUAGUAACUUUUCCUAAUUUAGCCCAUGAACUUGGAUUCUGUUAAGUACAAUAAUAUAAUACUUUGAAAUUGUACUAAACUAUCACUUAAUCUCAAAGUGACACAUCAUUAUAUUUUAGCUAAAUCCAAAUGCAGGGACCAAAUUAAAAAAGCUGCAAAAUUUUAAUACUAAUAUAGACUUUAAAAAAUUGAAAAGGAGCAAGAUAGGAAAAAAAUUCCAAUCCAACAACUAAAUGUUACUUUAUCUGAAUUAAUAAAACAAUUGAUUUAAAAAAUUGACAGAUUAACUGUUUGGGAAGAAAAAAGCUGGCUAAAGCCAAUAAAGAAAAUUCCAUCAUCACUUUCUAUAUCCAUGGCCGAAUGAAAGAAGAAGAGUGGGUCAUUUUCUCUUUUAAGACUUUUUCCUAUGACUUCUCUACCUUAUACUCUUUUUUUCUUUUGUUAAUAUAAAUUUCUUUUUUUAAAAAAAAAAACCUUUUGAAAAGCCUUCGAAAUUGACUCUAAAAAUUUUGUGUCCAAAAAUGCAAUGGCCAAGUCAAGCAAAUAUAUAGAGAAGAAAAUUCAAAUGCAAAUAAAUGUUAGGCCAAAUUGAGUAGAAUAUUUUGUACAACAAAAAUUUUGAUUUAGAAAACAACUUUAAGACCUACUUGGUGCUGCUGUUGGCUAAUAAAAUGCCAACUCGACAUGUUUGAGUCGGAUUGAAUUUAUGUAUAUUAUUAAUUUAUACUAUUAUUUUAGUUUAUAAUUAAUUUGUACGAGUCAAUCGAGCAUCAACUUAAUUAGGAUAAAUAUAAAAAUAUUUUUUCGUAAUUAAAAUAAAUUAUAUUAUCUAAAAGUAUUUUAUUCUUUUUAUUUUAACAAAAACUAAUAAAAAGAAUAAAGCAUGAUGAAAGCCAUACACUUGUUGAACACUAGCAAGUUGAAUCAUGCCUAUUUUCUCCACCGUGGUGUUGAUGUGAUCCUCCGCCCGGGGGCUCAGAAAUAACAAUACCCGGAACUGGUCUAUAAGCGUUUAGUGAAGCCGGCAUGCUUGAAUGAGUGUCGGUAACUGAGCCACCGCCGGCACCUAUUCCCAAACCAAAUUGUUGGGCAGGGAGGAGAGCCAUUGGAGCGGCUAAAUUCAUAAAAUGCACCCCACUAGACAUAGUACCCCUAUACAUAUUAGUGUUAUUAGUUGAAGGCAAUGUCCACAUGGGAUCCCCAGUGCCACUCCCACUGAUGACUUGGUUGCCUAUCCAAAAUGUCGCCGGGAUCGGAUUAUGACUCGUCGGAAUCGAACCCGUAUUAGAUUGUAUCAAGUAACUUCCCACCUGAUUUUGUGGCGUUUCUUGCUGCUCAGGCCUCCUCCUCUUCCCUAUACUAGUAUCCGCGGCCUCGCCGUCCCGAAUCUCUUGCUUAGCUUGCAAGAAAGCGUUCAAAGUAGUGCUACUAGUACCAGGAAAGGUCAAUGAAUCUUCAGAUGAUAAAGCAACACCAGGAAAUAAAACCCUUCGUUGUUGUUGUUGUUGCUGUUGAGAUGAAUCGUCAAGGACAUUCCUUUGAUCCAAUUCACUCCUCGUCCUCAAUUGUUGUGUGGUAAAAUUUGGAUUGAAAUAAGUGUUCCUCAAGUGUGAAGCCGACAUGCUAGAACCUGAACUUCUUAGUGAAAUAUUAAGGGACGUGAAAUUUGCAGGGAUAGUACCUGUCCCCGUGGCAGCAAUAACCGCGGGCUCAGCUUGUUGGAGCAACCACUCAAUGGUUUCACCAUCUGAUUUGAGACCAAGCUCCCUUGUUAGCUGGAAAACCCUAGCAGCACACGUGGCCGGCAUGCGGAUGCGACGGCCUCGUCCUUCCACUUUGGUGUGCCGGUCCUUGGUUGAAGUCCUCUUAGGUGGAGGUUUCUUGGAGGGAGAUUCCAAGGUUGGUUUGGAGCUGGUGUCGACGUCGGCAGGGUCGAAACGAGGUUGUUCCUUCUUUUCUAGGAGCUGAAGAGGGAAGUUCGGCCUGCGGAUCCCAUUUUCAUCCAUGAUCAUGUAUGAGAGAGUGGGAUUAUAUCUUUUUGGUGGUUUGGCUCUCCUAGCACAUGAUCUGAAGGUGACCCUCAAUUCGAUGACUUUGAUGGCCUAGUGGGUCUCUUUCUUUUUUGCUAUAUGAUGUUGUGUUGUGUAGCUUGGAAUUCCCUUUAGAUGGGGAAGAUUGAAGCUGCUGAGUUGGUUUUCUUAUCUCUUCACAGACCAAAG
rnacentral:lncRNA from 1 species